ACCCUGCGAUGAGCACAUUAAUGCAUGUAUGUAUUGAAGUGUUUAUCGUAGGUUAAGAACCUGAUGCUUAAAUUAUGUAAGGUUAGCAAUUUGGGGCUAAAUUGUAUAAUUCCGAUCCCGGGGUCUUACAGUAGGCUACGCGAGCACAGAAUAAAUUUUUUUACUGAUUCCGCCCGGACCAAUGCCAUAGAUAAUGGAUCACGAGAUUAUCACUAGACGCACAGACCCAUAGCGGAAGUAGAGUCGGUGAUGCGUGUCGAUGCCGAGUAGUCGACCGGCCUGUUCCUCCUCGCCGAUUCCACGAACAGUUCGUCCAAGCGCCGCAGGUGCAGCGCCUCCAAGAGAUCCACACGUACAGGGAGGAACUCCGUGCGGCGGACUGCUAGAUCCGAUCGCAAGGUUUGGGCGUGAAGGUGUGACAGCCGAGUCUGACUCGUGCCUCCAAUUCGGGUAACCCUAACCGGGUAUGCCUCCUCCACUUAUAUUGACCUCCCCGGUGGGCUUCAACACUUGAGGCAUGUUAGGAGUCUAAGCCCGAUACGAGUUGGAUCCGAUCCAAUUCGGUCCCAUCCCCUUAAGUGUGCGACCCUAUAGGUUCGCGGUCAGAUAGACAUGACUACGAGUCCGAACGCAGGUUCCGACCCAAGUUGAUAGUCAGUAGCGGCGCCUAGCAGCACGUGCUGACUCCCGAAUAACCACAAAGUAUAUUGAUGAACUAUACAAUGUGUCCACGUGCAACAUUCCUUUUGCCUCACGAUAUGUGUGUCGAGCUCAAGGCGAGUACUUGUCAUCCUUGUGUAUAGCUCGACUCUAUUCUCAAUCUCGUGAUUUAGAUUUCCGAACGGGUUACGCUACCCAAGUCGCAUGGCCAUGCUUUCCGAAUUUGAUCACUCGAGAGGGCCCAGAGAUAUCUCUCCAAAAGGGAGGGGCAAAUCUCAUCUUGAUCAACCAUGACUUGCAGCAUGUUUCUCAGCAAAUUCGAAAGCUACCUUUAUAACUGCCCAGUUGCGGAGUAGCGUUAGGCAACCCCUAAGUAAGCCGAUUCGCAUCCCAAGCUCAUGCGAUGAUCUUAGGUCUAGGACUGACAUAAAAAUCGUACUUGAGACUAACAAAUGACAAUCAUCUCGUUAUGUCUCAGUGCGGGUCUGUCCGACUCGGCAAUCUCAUUGUCGAGUCCAAUGCUAUCAGUUGGCAACACCUUGCCCUAUGACUUGUGAAACAUAGUCAUCAUACUGAGUCACAUUGCUAAUCUAGGUUGUGUGUCCGCAUAACCUCAAAGACUAGGGACCAUUAGAACAACAUCAUAUAAUAUAUAGUCUCACAAACAAAUCACAUAUUUAUUGAUACAUAUCAGUGAUGAUGUUCAAGCACAAUAACAUUAACUCAUGAAUACAUAGAAAAUAACAUCAUCACAUGAUUGCCUCUAGGGCAUAUCUCCAACACAUACAAUGUUAAUGGAGGUUGCUAAUUGUGCAUCGUGUAAGGUGUUCAUGGUGGGAGCUUCCAUGCACUCCAACUGUGGUUAAUCUGCACUCCAGCUCUGUGGUUUUUAUGCACUCCAGCUCUUCUUGAAUCUUGAUAACCUUGUUACAGUGAAUUUAGGUUUUGUUGCUUUAUUUUACUACGAAGAACAAUUAAGUUCAUGUAGACUUUAUGGAAUCAUUUAGUUCUUCCUCACAUGCAAAAAUGUACUCAUUCCGUCCAAGAAAGGAUGUUUCAACUUUGACUAAAUUUGAAUGCAUCUAUACACUAAGUCAUGUUUAGAUACAUUCAAAUUUUGACAAACUUGAGACAUCCUUUGUUGGACGGAGGGAGUAUCAGCAAUUCCUUUUGUGUCUUUUGAUGACAAGUCUUUGCCACCUGCAGAUUGGAAAAAAUAGUCCGACAUCAAUGUAUACCUCACAACAAUUUUUUCUUCUGUCAGAGACAUUCUAGGAUGUGACUUGAUAAAUGAGGGUCGGGAUUUGGCGUUGUUAGAUAAUAAGAAAUGCAGGCUAGCAAGCUAUCAGCAGAUCUUGCAGGCUUACAAACAGAUAUUGCAGAGGUUGAGAGAAGACAUUCAUUGAGGAUGGAGUUCAGUUUAGAAGAGAUGGGAGUACUGGCAAGUUCUAAUGAUUUGCCAGGCACUUCUUCAGAUGCCCGUAGAGGGGGAUCGCUGUCAGGUUUGCUACCACCAAUAUGCAGGUCAAGCAUAUAUGAUCAGAGGGCGACCAUAAACAUGUUGCUUUGCUACCUGAAAACUGUUUUAUCUUGUGCGGCCACAACAUGUAAAAAUCAUGCGUAGUAGAACUCCUUGAUUUCUUGGAUGACUAGAGUUGGCAUGAAGCUAAAUGGCACAAGACCAAAUUAGAGUGGAAUUUUAAGAUGUUUUAGUAGUGCAAUUUUAUUUUUGUUUUUCUGGUUUGUGAGUACAAAAUACUCUAUUUAAUGAAAGUGGAAUUUUAAGA